rnacentral:tRNA from 1 species
GCGAUAGCUCAUCUGGCAGAGCAUCUGCCUGGUGUGCUGAGGGGCGCCGGUUCGAUUCCGGCAAGCA